rnacentral:rRNA from 1 species
AGUCGAGCGGAUGAGAGGAGCUUGCUCUUCGAUUCAGCGGCGGACGGGUGAGUAAUGCCUAGGAAUCUGCCUAGUAGUGGGGGACAACGUUUCGAAAGGAACGCUAAUACCGCAUACGUCCUACGGGAGAAAGUGGGGGAUCUUCGGACCUCACGCUAUUAGAUGAGCCUAGGUCGGAUUAGCUAGUUGGUAGGGUAAAGGCCUGCCAAGGCGACGAUCCGUAACUGGUCUGAGAGGAUGAUCAGUCACACUGGAACUGAGACACGGUCCAGACUCCUACGGGAGGCAGCAGUGGGGAAUAUUGGACAAUGGGCGAAAGCCUGAUCCAGCCAUGCCGCGUGUGUGAAGAAGGCCUUCGGGUCGUAAAGCACUUUAAGUUGGGAGGGAGGGCUCAUAGCGAAUACCUGUGAGUUUUGACGUUACCAACAGAAUAAGCACCGGCUAACUUCGUGCCAGCAGCCGCGGUAAUACGAAGGGUGCAAGCGUUAAUCGGAAUUACUGGGCGUAAAGCGUGCGUAGGUGGUUGUUUAAGUCAGAUGUGAAAGCCCCGGGCUUAACCUGGGAACUGCAUUUGAAACUGGAUAACUAGAGUAUAGUAGAGGAAAGUAGAAUUUCUGGUGUAGCGGUGAAAUGCGUAGAUAUCAGAAGGAAUACCGAUGGCGAAGGCAGCUUUCUGGACUAAUACUGACACUGAGGUACGAAAGCGUGGGUAGCAAACAGGAUUAGAUACCCUGGUAGAAGGGC